rnacentral:rRNA from 1 species
CCCUUAGAUGUUCUGGGCAGCACGCGCGCUACAAUGGUCUUCGCAAACGGAUGCAUUCUCGAAGGAGAAUGCCAAUCUUGGAAUCUAUGCCUUGGUCGGGACAGUUGCUUGCAAUUUUUCGACUCGAACCAGGAAUUCCUUGUAAUCGUGAUUCAUUACAUCACGAUGAAUACGUCCCUGCCCUUUGUACACACCGCCCGUCGCUCCUACCGAUCGAAGAGUUAGGUGAAUUGUUUUGAUCGAUAAGAUUUGACUAUGGUCAACUCUCGUUGUGAAAUUCUGUGAAUCUGACUGUUUAGAGGAAGGAAAAGUCGUAACA